UACAGAGGUCCCAAGCGUUGUUCGGAUUCACUGGGCGUAAAGGGUGCGUAGGCGGUCGGGUAAGUCUGAUGUGAAACCUCACAGCUUAACUGUGAAACUGCAUUGGAUACUAUCCGGCUCGAGGAAUGGAGGGGAGACUGGAAUACUUGGUGUAGCAGUGAAAUGCGUAGAUAUCAAGUGGAACACCAGUGGCGAAGGCGAGUCUCUGGACAUUUCCUGACGCUGAGGCACGAAAGCCAGGGGAGCAAACGGG
rnacentral:rRNA from 1 species